rnacentral:lncRNA from 1 species
GGGCAAUGACAUUUGAGUAGAAGUGACAUCUGUCCCUUCGGAGCUGAGAUAUUUAAAUGCUGAAGCAAUGAUCUCAUCUCCUCCUGUAUUCUCCCGCUAAAUAUUGUGGAGGAGGCCUCAUGUCACCUUAGUGACAGAGGGCGAUGAUCAGUAAUGAAGCUAAAAGGUCACCGAACACUGUUUUACCUGAAGCUGCAGAGAAUCCCGUGAAGAAUGUAUAAUCGUCGGCAUUUCGCUUACUUCCACACCGACAGAAGGAAAUGUACACAUCUACGCCCUGAA